rnacentral:rRNA from 2 species
CUGCGAGUGAAGCGGGAAAAGCUCAAAUUUAAAAUCUGUCAGUCUUUGGCUGUCCGAGUUGUAAUCUAGAGAAGCGUUAUCCGCGCUGGACCGUGUACAAGUCUCCUGGAAUGGAGCGUCAUAGAGGGUGAGAAUCCCGUCUUUGACACGGACUGCCAGGGCUUUGUGAUGCGCUCUCAAAGAGUCGAGUUGUUUGGGAAUGCAGCUCAAAAUGGGUGGUAAAUUCCAUCUAAAGCUAAAUAUUGGCGAGAGACCGAUAGCGAACAAGUACCGUGAGGGAAAGAUGAAAAGAACUUUGGAAAGAGAGUUAAACAGUACGUGAAAUUGCUGAAAGGGAAACGCUUGAAGUCAGUCGCGUUGUCCAGGGAUCAACCUUGCUUUUGCUUGGUGUACUUUCUGGUUGACGGGUCAGCAUCAAUUUUGACUGUUGGAAAAAGGUCAGGGGAAUGUGGCAUCUUUGGAUGUGUUAUAGCCCUUGGUUGCAUACAAUGGUUGGGAUUGAGGAACUCAGCACGCCGCAAGGCCGAGUAACUUGUUACUACGUACGUGCUUAGGAUGCUGGCAUAAUGGCUUUAAUCGACCCGUCUUGAAACACGGACCAAGGAGUCUAACAUGCCUGCGAGUGUUUGGGUGGAAAACCCGAGCGCGUAAUGAAAGUGAAAGUUGAGAUCCCUGUCGUGGGGAGCAUCGACGCCCGGACCAGACCUUUUGUGACGGUUCCGCGGUAGAGCAUGUAUGUUGGGACCCGAAAGAUGGUGAACUAUGCCUGAAUAGGGUGAAGCCAGAGGAAACUCUGGUGGAGGCUCGUAGCGAUUCUGACGUGCAAAUCGAUCGUCAAAUUUG